UACGUAGGCAGCAAGCGUUGUUCGGAGUUACUGGGCGUAAAGGGCGCGUAGGCGGCACUGUUAGUCAGGCGUGAAAGUCCUGGGCUCAACCUGGGAACUGCGCUUGAUACGGCAGAGCUAGAGGAUGGAAGAGGCUCGCGGAAUUCCCAGUGUAGAGGUGAAAUUCGUAGAUAUUGGGAAGAACACCGGUGGCGAAGGCGGCGAGCUGGUCCAUUACUGACGCUGAGGCGCGAAAGCCAGGGGAGCAAACGGG
rnacentral:rRNA from 1 species